rnacentral:rRNA from 1 species
GACGAACGCUGGCGGCGUGCUUAACACAUGCCAGUCGAACGGAAAGGCCCUGCUUUUGUGGGGUGUUCGAGUGGCGAACGGGUGAGUAACACGUGAGUAACCUGCCCUUGACUUUGGGAUAACUUCAGGAAACUGGGGCUAAUACCGGAUAGGAGCUCCUGCUGCAUGGUGGGGGUUGGAAAGUUUCGGCGGUUGGGGAUGGACUCGCGGCUUAUCAGCUUGUUGGUGGGGUAGUGGCUUACCAAGGCUUUGACGGGUAGCCGGCCUGAGAGGGUGACCGGCCACAUUGGGACUGAGAUACGGCCCAGACUCCUACGGGAGGCAGCAGUGGGGAAUAGUGCACAAUGGGCGGAAGCCUGAUGCAGCAACGCCGCGUGCGGGAUGACGGCCUUCGGGUUGUAAACCGCUUUCGCCUGGGACGAAGCGUGAGUGACGGUAAUGGGUAAAGAAGCACCGGCUAACUACGUG